rnacentral:rRNA from 1 species
GAGUUGCAUCCUGACCACAUCCAGCCUGAUCCCGGGCUUCGUAUUCCAAUUAAUAAUUUUCAUCCCAACAUUAGAGAUGAAGUUAGAUUGGCUUAUGUGGCAAAGGGUCCAACUCGACCGGUCGGUCAUACGUACGAACGUGAUCAUUUUGACAGGGCCUUUUGUGAAGCAUGGUAUGAAAAAAAUCCUUGGUUGGAAUAUAGCGUGGAAAAGAAUGCAGUCUAUUGCUUUUAUUGUUUUCUUUUCAGACAAGAUCCGGUGGAUGAAAAAUUUGGUCAUACUACCUUCACCAAAGAUGGCUACAGUACUUGGAAGAAUGCAUACAAGGCAUUUCCUCUUCAUGUUGGUGGCCCCAGGAGUAUCCACAAUCAAUCAAGGACAGCAUAUGAAGAUUUUAAAAAUCAAAGCUCAAGUCUGAAGCGUAAGGUUACAGUCUAUAACAAAGAAUCAUUAAUCAAGUACGAGACCCGUUUGGAAACAUCUUUGGGGAUUGUAAGUUUUCUUGCAUUGCAAGGUGAACCAUUUCGUGGACACAAUGAAUCUGCCCUUUCCUUAAAUAAAGGUAAUUUUCUAGAGAUGCUUGAUUGGUACAAAGCAAGAAAGGAGGAAGUGAGAAUUGCGUUUGAUGAGCUAUGCCCAGGAAAUGCACAAAUGAUUUCUUCAAAAAUUCAAAAAGCACUUGCCAAAAGUUGUGCAGAUGGGGUCCGAAGAGCAAUAAAACAAGAGAUGGGGGAUAAUCUUUUUUCGGUUCUUAUUGAUGAAUCUCGUGAUAUAUCAGUAAAAGAACAAAUGGCCUUGGUUGUGAGGUAUAUGAGCAAGGGAGAAGUUAUUGAAAGAUUUUUGGGUAUCAAGCAUGUCAAGGAGACAACAGCAGAAGCACUAAAGAAAGCAUUGGUUGAGGUUCUUGGUAAGAAUGGGCUGCUUAUUGCAAAUUUACGAGGGCAAGGGUAUGAUGGAGCAUCUAAUAUGAGGGGAGAAUUCAAUAGUGUUCAAAAACUUGUCCGAGAUGAAAACCCAUAUGCUUUCUAUAUGCAUUGUUUCGCCCACCGAUUGCAGCUAGUAGUUGUUGCUGUCUCAAGAUGCUGUUCUUCCAUUGAGGAUUUCUUUGAAUAUGUGGCCUUGAUUGUGAACGCCGCUGGUUCGUCUUGCAAGAGGAAGGAUAUAUUGCUUGAUAAGCAACGCAUAAAUCUGUUGGCUAAGUUAGAGAGUGGAGAAAUUUUCUCAGGAAGAGGGAAAAACCAAGAAACAUCAUUGGCUAGACCAGGAGAUACAAGAUGGGGCUCUCAUUAUAAAACACUAGUUCGUAUAGAAUCGAUGUGGGAUGCAGUUAUACAAGUGUUAGCUAUUGUGCAUGAGGAUGAGCGUAAUCCAUCUAGGGCAGGAGGUUUGGUGCAGAUAAUGGAGUCUUUUAGCUUUGUGUUCAUCAUGAAGUUGAUGUUGCAAAUCCUUCGCAUUACAAAUCAGUUGUCACUUCUCCUCCAACGGAAGGAUCAGAAUAUUGUUCAAGCCAUGUCUUUGGUUACAAAUGUGAGGUCUUCCUUGGCCAACUUGAGGAACCAUGGUUGGGAACCACUCUUUGAAGAUGUCAAGAUCUUUUGUAAUGUUAAUGAUAUUCCGGUUCCAAAUAUGGAUGAAGUUGUACCGAGAUUCGGCCGAUCAAGAAAAGGAGGGAGAAAUAAUGUUACUCAAGAACAUUUUUUUCGUGUUGAUACCUUCUAUGCAGCGAUAGAUGCUAUCACCACAGAGCUGGAUCAUCGCUUUAAUGACAUGGCUUCAGAACUGCUAUGUGGAUUUGCUUGUCUUGACCCAAGAGACUCAUUUUCCAAGUUUGAUUUGGACAAAGUGUCUAAGCUUACAGACAUCUAUGAUGCAGAUUUCUCCAGUGAUGACCGUAAGCGUAUGAAAACCGAGCUCCAGUUGUUCAUCAACCACAUGAAAAGACAUGAUGACUUUAGAGUUUGUUAUGAUCUUGCAAGCCUAGCCAAGAAAAUGUUUGAACUUGAAAGAAAUAUUAUGUUCCCUCUGGUUUAUCGCCUUAUUGAGUUGGGGUUGCUUCUACCGGUGGCAACGGCAUCGGUUGAAAGGGCCUUCUCAGCAAUGAAGAUCAUCAAGACUGAUUUGCGCAGCAAGAUGUCCGAUGGUUGGCUUGAUGACUUAAUGGUGUGCUACAUCGAGAGAGAGAUAUUUAAAGGACUUGAUCUUGCUGAAAUUAAGAAAGAAUUUCAACGUGAAGGUAGAAGAAUGCCAUUGCCACGUUCUAUUUAA